GAUGAACGCUGGCGGCGUGCCUAAUACAUGCAAGUCGAGCGAACGGACGAGAAGAUUGCUUCUCUGAUGUUAGCGGCGGACGGGUGAGUAACACGUGGAUAACCUACCUAUAAGACUGGGAUAACUUCGGGAAACCUGAGCUAAUACCGGAUGAUAUUUUGAACCGCAUGGUUCAAAAGUGAAAGACGGUCUUGCUGUCACUUAUAGAUGGAUCCGCGCUGCAUUAGCUAGUUGGUAAGGUAACGGCUUACCAAGGCAACGAUGCAUAGCCGACCUGAGAGGGUGAUCGGCCACACUGGAACUGAGACACGGUCCAGACUCCUACGGGAGGCAGCAGUAGGGAAUCUUCCGCAAUGGGCGAAAGCCUGACGGAGCCACGCCGCGUGAGUGAUGAAGGUCUUCGGAUCGUAAAACUCUGUUAUUAGGGAAGAACAUAUGUGUAAGUAACUGUGCACAUCUUGACGGUACCUACUCAGAAAGCCACGGCUAACUACGUG
rnacentral:rRNA from 1 species